rnacentral:rRNA from 1 species
AGUGGCGGACGGGUGAGUAAUGCUUGGGAACUUGCCUUUGCGAGGGGGAUAACAGUUGGAAACGACUGCUAAUACCGCAUAAUGUCUUCGGACCAAACGGGGCUUAGGCUCCGGCGCAAAGAGAGGCCCAAGUGAGAUUAGCUAGUUGGUAGGGUAACGGCUUACCAAGGCAACGAUCUCUAGCUGUUCUGAGAGGAAGAUCAGCCACACUGGGACUGAGACACGGCCCAGACUCCUACGGGAGGCAGCAGUGGGGAAUAUUGCACAAUGGGGGAAACCCUGAUGCAGCCAUGCCGCGUGUGUGAAGAAGGCCUUCGGGUUGUAAAGCACUUUCAGUUGUGAGGAAAAGUUAGUAGUUAAUACCUGCUAGCCGUGACGUUAACAACAGAAGAAGCACCGGCUAACUCCGUGCCAGCAGCCGCGGUAAUACGGAGGGUGCGAGCGUUAAUCGGAAUUACUGGGCGUAAAGCGCACGCAGGCGGUUUGUUAAGCUAGAUGUGAAAGCCCCGGGCUCAACCUGGGAUGGUCAUUUAGAACUGGCAGACUAGAGUCUUGGAGAGGGGAGUGGAAUUCCAGGUGUAGCGGUGAAAUGCGUAGAUAUCUGGAGGAACAUCAGUGGCGAAGGCGACUCCCUGGCCAAAGACUGACGCUCAUGUGCGAAAGUGUGGGUAGCGAACAGGAUUAGAUACCCUGGUAGUCCACACCGUAAACGCUGUCUACUAGCUGUGUGUGCCUUUAAGGCGUGCGUAGCGAAGCUAACGCGAUAAGUAGACCGCCGGGGGAGUACGGCCGCAAGGUUAAAACUCAAAUGAAUUGACGGGGGCCCGCACAAGCGGUGGAGCAUGUGGUUUAAUUCGAUGCAACGCGAAGAACCUUACCUACACUUGACAUGCUGAGAAGUUACUAGAGAUAGUUUCGUGCCUUCGGGAACUCAGACACAGGUGCUGCAUGGCUGUCGUCAGCUCGUGUCGUGAGAUGUUGGGUUAGUCCCGCACGAGCGCAACCUUGUCCUUAGUUGCCAGCAUUAAGUUGGGCACUCUAAGGAGACUGCCGGGACAACCGGAGAAGGUGGGACAACUCAGUCUCAGGGCCCUUACUGUAGGGUACCCC